rnacentral:rRNA from 1 species
GAUGAACGCUAGCUGCAGGCUUAAUACAUGCAAGUCGAGGGGAAACGGCAUCGUAAGCUUGCUUUUGCUGGGCGUCGACCGGCGCACGGGUGAGUAACGCGUACCCAACCUGCCCAUCACUUGGGAACAACCUUGCGAAAGUAAGACCAAUGCCCAUUGACAUCCCCCGAAUGCAUUCGAAAGGGACUAUAGUUCUAUCGGUGAUGGAUGGGGAUGCGUCUGAUUAGCUUGUUGGUGAGGUGACGGCCUACCAAGGCAACGAUGAGUAGGGGUUCUGAGAGGAAGGUCCCCCACAUUGGAACUGAGACACAGACCACACUCCUACGGAAGGCAGCAGUAAGGAAUAUUGGGCAAUGGAGGAGAGCCUGACCCAGCCAAGUAGCGUGCAGGAGGACGGGGCUAUGGGUUGUAAACUACUUGUAUAGGGGAAUAAAGUGGGUCACGUUUGACUUUUUGAAGGUACCUUAUGAAUAAGCACCGGCUAAUUACGUG